GUCCCCGUAGUUCAACGGAUAGAACAGAAGCUUGCGGAGCUUCAGACCUAGGUUCAAUUCCUAGCGGGGGCA
rnacentral:tRNA from 1 species